rnacentral:rRNA from 1 species
CGGAAGAUGUAACGGGGCUAAACCAUGCACCGAAGCUGCGGCAGCGACGCUGAUGCGUUGUUGGGUAGGGGAGCGUUCUGUAAGCCUGUGAAGGUGUGCUGUGAGGCAUGCUGGAGGUAUCAGAAGUGCGAAUGCUGACAUAAGUAACGAUAAAGCGGGUGAAAAGCCCGCUCGCCGGAAGACCAAGGGUUCCUGUCCAACGUUAAUCGGGGCAGGGUGAGUCGACCCCUAAGGCGAGGCCGAAAGGCGUAGUCGAUGGGAAACAGGUUAAUAUUCCUGUACUUGGUGUUACUGCGAAGGGGGGACGGAGAAGGCUAUGUUGGCCGGGCGACGGUUGUCCCGGUUUAAGCGUGUAGGCUGGUUUUCCAGGCAAAUCCGGAAAAUCAAGGCUGAGGCGUGAUGACGAGGCACUACGGUGCUGAAGCAACAAAUGCCCUGCUUCCAGGAAAAGCCUCUAAGCAUCAGGUAACAUCAAAUCGUACCCCAAACCGACACAGGUGGUCAGGUAGAGAAUACCAAGGCGCUUGAGAGAACUCGGGUGAAGGAACUAGGCAAAAUGGUGCCGUAACUUCGGGAGAAGGCACGCUGAUAUGUAGGUGAAGUCCCUCGCGGAUGGAGCUGAAAUCAGUCGAAGAUACCAGCUGGCUGCAACUGUUUAUUAAAAACACAGCACUGUGCAAACACGAAAGUGGACGUAUACGGUGUGACGCCUGCCCGGUGCCGGAAGGUUAAUUGAUGGGGUUAGCGCAAGCGAAGCUCUUGAUCGAAGCCCCGGUAAACGGCGGCCGUAACUAUAACGGUCCUAAGGUAGCGAAAUUCCUUGUCGGGUAAGUUCCGACCUGCACGAAUGGCGUAAUGAUGGCCAGGCUGUCUCCACCCGAGACUCAGUGAAAUUGAACUCGCUGUGAAGAUGCAGUGUACCCGCGGCAAGACGGAAAGACCCCGUGAACCUUUACUAUAGCUUGACACUGAACAUUGAGCCUUGAUGUGUAGGAUAGGUGGGAGGCUUUGAAGUGUGGACGCCAGUCUGCAUGGAGCCGACCUUGAAAUACCACCCUUUAAUGUUUGAUGUUCUAACGUUGACCCGUGAUCCGGGUUGCGGACAGUGUCUGGUGGGUAGUUUGACUGGGGCGGUCUCCUCCUAAAGAGUAACGGAGGAGCACGAAGGUUGGCUAAUCCUGGUCGGACAUCAGGAGGUUAGUGCAAUGGCAUAAGCCAGCUUGACUGCGAGCGUGACGGCGCGAGCAGGUGCGAAAGCAGGUCAUAGUGAUCCGGUGGUUCUGAAUGGAAGGGCCAUCGCUCAACGGAUAAAAGGUACUCCGGGGAUAACAGGCUGAUACCGCCCAAGAGUUCAUAUCGACGGCGGUGUUUGGCACCUCGAUGUCGGCUCAUC